rnacentral:rRNA from 1 species
GAGUACAGCGGCGUAAGGGUGAGUAAUGGUUCGUCAACGUACCGAGCAGACGCGAAUAAUUUCCCGAAAGGGAUUGUAAUGCGCGAUGAGACCACGUGGUGCACGCACUGUGGGGUCAAAGGUCGGGGAUCCUUUCGGGACCCGGCGCUGUUUGAGCGGACGAACUCUGAUUAGCUAGUUGGCGGGGUAACGGCCCACCAAGGCGAUGAUCAGUAGCCGGGCUGAGAGGCUGUCCGGCCACACGGGCACUGAGAUACUGGCCCGACUCCUACGGGAGGCUGCAGUCGCGAAUUUUUCACAAUGGGCGCAAGCCUGAUGAAGCCACGCCGCGUGCGGGAUGAAGGCCCUUUGGGUUGUAAACCGCUGUCGAGGGAGGGGAACCGCUGCAGGUGAAUAGUCUGCAGUCUGACUGCUCUCUGAAGGAAGCCCCGGCAAAACAUGUGCCAGCAGCCGCGGUAAUACAUGUGGGGCAAGCGUUGUUCGGAAUUACUGGGCAUAAAGGGUGCGUAGGUGGUUUGUUAAGUCAGGGGUGAAAUCCCUGGGCUCAACUCAGGGGGGUCGGCUGAAACUGCCGUUCUUGAGGGAUGCAGAGGAGACUGGAAUUCCCGGUGUAGCGGUGAAAUGUGUAGAGAUCGGGAGGAACACCGGUGGCGAAGGCGGGUCUCUGGGCAUUCCCUGACGCUGAGGCGCGAAAGCGUGGGGAGCAAACGGGAUUAGAUACCCCGGUAGUCCACGCGGUAAACGAUGACGACUAGGUGUGGGGGGGUUAAGUCCCUUCCGUGCCGCAGCUAACGCAUUAA